AUACUUAACCUAACAGGGGAGAUACCAUGAUCACGAAGGUGGUUCUCCCAGGGUGAGGCUUAUCCAUUGCACUCCGGAUGUGCUGACCCCUGCGAUUUCCCCAAAUGUGGGAAAUUCGACUGCAUAAUUUGUGGUAGUGGGGGACUGUGUUUGCGCUCUCCCUUG